UACGUAGGGUGCAAGCGUUGUCCGGAAUUAUUGGGCGUAAAGAGCUCGUAGGCGGUUUGUCGCGUCUGCUGUGAAAACUCAGGGCUUAACCCUGAGCUUGCAGUGGGUACGGGCAGACUAGAGUGCGGUAGGGGAGAACGGAAUUCCUGGUGUAGCGGUGAAAUGCGCAGAUAUCAGGAGGAACACCGGUGGCGAAGGCGGUUCUCUGGGCCUUACCUGACGCUGAGGAGCGAAAGCGUGGGGAGCGAACAGG
rnacentral:rRNA from 1 species